rnacentral:rRNA from 1 species
UGUAAAGAUAAAAUUUUUUUUUUUGCUGC